rnacentral:rRNA from 1 species
CCUACGGGUGGCAGCAGUGAGGAAUAUUGGUCAAUGGCCGGAAGGCUGAACCAGCCAUGCCGCGUGAAGGUCAGUGCCCUAUGGGCGUUAAACUUCUUUUGUGCGGGAGCAAUAAUGGUCACGUGUGGCCAGACGAGAGUACCGUACGAAUAAGCCUCGGCUAACUCCGUGCCAGCAGCAGCGGUACUAAGGGGGAUGCAAGCGUUAUCCGGAUUUAUGGGGUUGAAAGGGUGCGUAGGCUGUGAGGUAAGUCAGCGGGGAAAUGCCCCCGCUCAACGGGGUGAAGUGCCAUUGAUACUGCAUGGCUGGAAUGCGGAUGCCGUGAGAGGAAUGUGUGGUGUAGCGGUGAAAUGCAUAGAUAUCACACAGAACACCGAUUGCGAAGGCAUCUCACGAAUCCGCGAUUGACGCUGAUGCACGAAAGCGUGGGUAUCAAACAGGAUUAGAUACCCCUGUAGUC